GGGGGCGGCGGCCGCCGCCGCGAAAGGCCACGGGGUGCUGAAGGGCCUCGCCGAGGUGGCGGCGCGAUCCUCACACCUUUAAGGAAGAUAUGUUGAGACAGUAGGAUCCAUCAGCCAGGGCAUGGAAGAGUUGACAGAUACAAAGCCCAUUGGAAUAUAUUCUCUCCCCUCAGAGGGCUGGGCUGCCUAAGAUGAGUAGGCCUGCAGUAGCCAAAGAGGACAGUGCUAUGGAGAUGGAGAAAAUUAGACCCAGUGAGCCUGUGCACCAUACUUUCGCUACUACCGAAUCACUUAAGUAACAGUGGAACCUCAUCUGGAACAUCCAUGCUUGGAAAGAGGCAAUCUAGUGGAUGAAAGAAAGAAAUAAAGUCUCCUUUCUCUCAACUCCAGUCUCCAGUAGGUUCAUCCUCCAGACUUUAGUAAGGCAUGAACAAUACAAAUAAUAUCAAUGACAUAAGAAAACAAUGGAUCUAGCUGCACAGACUCUAUAGACUUGAAAAUAGUGAAGAGGAGUACAAGAAAAGAAGAAGGGAGAAAAAGAGUGAAAUACCAUUAACGGCAAAUGGAGGAGUCAUUAUCUAACAGUGCCUCACAGAGAUAACUGCUACAGGUUCCACUUGGACAUUCAGAUACUGCGGAAAUUGGGAAGCUGCCCUUGCAAUGACUCAGAGCCUGACCUCCAAUUUGUAAGAGCUUAGGAGGAGUUCACUUCCAAUGGACAGAAACCUUCUCUAUAGGCCAAAUCGUACUUAUUACAUAUGAAGUCUAAAAAGCAACCAGGCUCAACCCUCUUGCUGCAAGACUGUACAAGGAGACAAAGUGAAUGGUCCAGUUUAUCAUUUUGUGGAAAAAAAAUCUCCAUUUCAUUCACUGCCUGGACAGAGCGCAUAAGAGAAAAGAUAAUGGAAAAGUCAGGCACAGAAGAACUUCCUUACUAGGAGACCAAACUGUACAGUCAACUGGAAAGGAAGAGCUGGACUACAGAGAUUACCUGAAUCCAGAUUGGGAUCCCUCCCACUGUCUUGACCCAGCUCAACGUUUGCGAAGUCCCGGUUCAAAAUCUGACCUUCUCAGUGGUGCAGUAUUGUGUGGUGCCAUGAAGUCAGGGCCGUGGUUCAGCCUCUCUAAGGACUGCCCGCGUGGAAGCCCAUAAAGUGCUUCUUAGUUGUUUUUCCAGAUUUGAUAAGAGCAGCAAUAGGCAGCACUGCCAGUUAAGAUUGCUCUGGGAUGUGCUGGGAACCCGGCAGGCAGUCUAACAGGCAGGCAGCAAACGUGGCUCCCUGAGCAAGUGGAGGUAAUCGUGGAGGACACUGCUUUCUGCUGCUGUCAAUAGUUGUUUCAGUAAGAAGCAGCUGCUUUUCCAAAAGGCUGAGCAUUUUGCAAGUUCUUUCAGCUGAUACUUCUGUACAGAAUACAGUAAGGACCCAAACUGGCCGCAGUCUUAAUUUACUGUCAGAAAAAUAAUUAAUUCAACGCUGAAACUGGUAGAGGCAAUGAGAUGCUGAAUUCCUCUGAAAACCUCUGAAAACAUUCUACUUUUAUAAUGGGCCUUUAUUUUAAUUUGGGGUUCAUCCUACAUCCACCAAAGUUAGUGAUAAUAUUCCUAUCAAUUUUAAUGGGACAAGAUCAGCUUUAAGUUAUCUCCUUCAAGAUACCAAAAUUUCAAGGCUUUGGCUUUAACAUAUAUGACUUUUCCACUGUUUAAAUGAAGAUAAGACUCUUCUAUUUUUCUGUAGGGAGCCCUAAGAGAGCUAAGUACUAUUUAUAUUUUUCCCUUGGAAUCUGAUGAAUAAGCAAAUGAUAGUCUAGAGUCCCAGCUGGUAUGAGCUGGCAUUGUACAGCUGAAGACAACGGCCCUGGGCCAACCCAGACAGAAGGAAGAGACCGCCUGUGGUUUCAUUGUUCACCAGACUGUAUUUUGGACAAGACACAAAACUGAUCCAAUGGCUGGUAGUCAUUAGUCUGAGGUAUUCUUGCAAAAGCAAGCAAAUCUUAGUGCCCUGAUCAGUCCAGUUUGGAAAAAUAUAUUGUGCCUACUUUUAAAAUCA